rnacentral:rRNA from 1 species
AUGUUUUCAUGGCUAAGCGAUUCUAGCACCAUUCAGCAAAUAGUUCACAAGCAAGCAGGCUGUAGAGGACAUGGCACUGGCCGUGUUCAACCGUGCCCUGAAGCUUUCUGGAGUAGGUCUGUGCCUCUGUGUGUGUCUUCUCUAACUUCAUAUCGCUGGAUCUAUGGAUCAUUCUGCACGUUGGGCUUGUUGCUGGCUGCUAGCCUGGCUUGUAAGAGGAUGCUCCCCUGCUCUGAGUCCAAGAUACUGAGGGAAAGUCUAACAUAUCCAGAGGCACCAAUUGGGAGAGGUACAACAUAUGCAUUUCAAAGAGAACUGGACUCCGCUAUUUCUGACUUCACCAAGGUUGAAAUUUUAAAUUCAGAAUUCAGAACAUUCCCUUUACCUUUGUGUAAAAUGACCUUAUGA